rnacentral:rRNA from 1 species
GAUGAACGCUGGCGGCGUGCUUAACACAUGCAAGUCGAACGAUGAACCUCACUUGUGGGGGGAUUAGUGGCGAACGGGUGAGUAACACGUGAGUAACCUGCCCUUGACUCUGUGAUAAGCCUGGGAAACCGGGUCUAAUACUGGAUACGACCUUCUGGCGCAUGCCAUGUUGGUGGAAAGCUUUUGUGGUUUUGGAUGGACUCGCGGCCUAUCAGCUUGUUGGUGGGGUAAUGGCCUACCAAGGCGACGCAGGGGAGCCGGCGUGAGGGGGUGACCGGCCACACUGGGACUGAGAGGCGGCGCAGAAUGCUACGGACGGCAGCGGGGGGCAAUAGUGCACAAUGGGGGAAAGCCGGAUGAAGCGAGGCGGAGUGAGGGAGGGAGGCCUUCGGGGUGUAACCCUCUGUCAGUAGGGAUGAAGCCGGCUUUUGGGUUGGUGACGGUACCUGCAGAAGAAGCGCCGGCUAACUACGUG